UACGGAGGGGGCAAGCGUUGUCCGGACUUCACUGGGCGUAAAGGGGUGCGUAGGCGGUUGCAUGCGUCCGCGCUGAAAUCCCGAGGCUCAACCUCGGGGCGCGUGCGGAUACGAUGCGACGUUGAGGCUCGGAGAGGGUGGGAGAACUCCUGGUGUAGUGGUGAAAUGCGUAGAGAUCAGGAAGAAUACCCGUGGCGCAAGCGCCCA
rnacentral:rRNA from 1 species